UACGUAGGGUGCAAGCGUUAAUCGGAAUUACUGGGCGUAAAGCGUGCGCAGGCGGUUAUGUAAGUCAGAUGUGAAAUCCCCGGGCUCAACCUGGGAACUGCAUUUGUGACUGCAUCGCUGGAGUGCGGCAGAGGGGGAUGGAAUUCCGGGUGUAGCAGUGAAAUGCGUAGAUAUGCGGAGGAACACCGAUGGCGAAGGCAAUCCCCUGGGCCUGCACUGACGCUCAUGCACGAAAGCGUGGGGAGCAAACAGG
rnacentral:rRNA from 1 species